CUGAAGCAGAGGAAGGCCAUUUCCAUGCAAUGUGUUUGCACCAUUUAAAUGGCAGAUGCAUUCCCCCCCACCCUAAACAAACAGAAACUUUUAGGCUGAGGGACAACUAUGGUCAUGCAUGUCCCAUUUGGUUGACAGGGCCUUUGACCAAUAAGACACCUUGGUUGAGAGAAGUUUCUGGACAGCUACCAUAAAUGACCACACCUCAGAUUCAACUAUAGAAAUGGAGCAGGCCGAAAAUGAGUUAAGCAUUGAGUAUGCAGUAGAAGACUCUUCUUCUUGAAUUGACCAUCUAAAGAACAUUCCCUGGGGACUGAAACACCCUACUGACCUGUCAUUUGCAUCACUUUCCAAGUGACACGCACCAAAAUUAGGUGAGUUAUGGUGAUGAGUUAAUAUCCAAGGGGAAAGGCUACAAAGUACCAGAAGGAAAAGAAAACUGAGAGACAUAACAUGCUAGAGCUAUUAAGGAAGAUACAGAGCCGUCUGCAUGGAUGCUUCCAGAGGCCCUCAUCUGCUGGGAUAUCUGCAAGUGUAGGUGAGAUGGGACCCAAUGGACUCAGAAGCCUUGAACCCUGCACAGGAAGAACCAAUGCAAACACAGAGUGGAAAUUAGAUGUAACCUCAUAGCCUUCGUCUACUCCUGAGCACCAAUCACAUGAAUAUAUACAUGCCAUGGCCAAGUUAUAUUAAAGUAAUAUUUGCUUUCAAUGCGAUUGUUUUUUCCACAUACUUAUAAUCUCCAGAGUCUACGUAGAAGCAGUUGCCUCGUUUUAUCUGCCCGUGAAUCUUUAGGAAAACAGAAGUUUAUCACAUUAGUGUUCUUAAAUUGGAGUUGAUAAGGAAAACUUUGAUUAAUCACUUUUUAUAAGGAAAAUCGUGAUACAUGUUAUUACAACAGUCAAAAGUUCCGCAAUAUUUUGGUUUGGGGAAGCAAAUUUAUGUCCAAACACUUCAAAUUUCGAAAUUCUAGAAAGAACAAAGCUAUUAUAAUAAAGAGUGUUUUAAAAAUCUGAGAUGAAAAAAUUUCCUUGCCUAUGUUUCCAAAUCACAUAUUUUAUCCUUUGUUUUCUUCACUUCCCUCACUUUCUCUCCCUGCACUGCCCCCUUCCUGAAAGAAGAUAAUGAUGUAUAUUGCAAACCUGUUUUAAGCUGAAUACCAAGAUUGUAAUUCAGGUGAGGUGCUCUACUUCCGUUCAUAAAUCACUUGAAGACUAUUCUUGUGUCAGCAGAACUCCUCAAUUGAAUUACAUGCUUCUAUUCAAUCAAGAAUCACCUGUAUCAAAAAGAUCUCACUCUCUGAUAAGACUGAACUGUGAGAUCUACGUAUCAUUGCUUUGCAGAAGCUUAUGUCUCAAUAACCACAGCUUGUAUUUAAUUCAAAUUUGGCACAGCUGAUUAUCAGUGGUAGCUCUAUAAAAAUGUCUGCUUCACUCAAUAAAUAGAUAGCUCUUAAAGUAUGCUGACAUUUCAGGAUUUUUUUCUUCAGCAGCAUCAAAGCUAAUUUGGGAAGCAUCUAGUCCCUACUGAUUGACCCCUUACAAAAAUAUUUCUGUUUGAUAUCUCUCUUUGAGUUUGUUUUUUAUCUCUGUUUCUCGUAUUUUCCAUUUCUCACUUACUGUAAGUUUCCAAUAUUUUAAAUCUGAUAUAAACAAAUUGCAAAGCUGAACAGAUAAGCUGGUCUUAUACAGAUCUAGAAAUUAUGAAAAAGAAACAAAAACCAAAAAACCCACCUCUGUGUCUGGGAUAAGAGACAUAGUUGGAAAUCUUUAAAAUUUUUGUGUAUCUAGUCUCCAUCUGUAGUAU